AUUAGACUACCCCCGUAGUCCCAGCCGUAAACUAUGCUCGCUAGGUGUCAGGCAUGGCGCGACCGUGUCUGGUGCCGCAGGGAAGCCGUGAAGCGAGCCACCUGGGAAGUACGGCCGCAAGGCUGAAACUUAAAGGAAUUGGCGGGGGAGCACAACAACGGGUGGAGCCUGCGGUUUAAUUGGACUCAACGCCGGACAACUCACCGGGGACGACAGCAAUAUGUAGGCCAGGCUGAAGACCUUGCCUGAAUCGCUG
rnacentral:rRNA from 1 species